rnacentral:tRNA from 1 species
GCUUGUGUGGUGUAGUGGUCCAUCAUUUCGGGGUUUCAUUCCGGCGACCCGGGUUCAAAUCCCGGCACGAGCA